rnacentral:sRNA from 1 species
AUUGGCUACACCCAUCUCGACAUCCGCCCCUCCUCGUUCUCUCUUCUCAGAAACAACAAAGCAGUCGUCGUGCUCAAUAGUUUCUUCAACUCCGAAACGCGUCAAAACAUCAGUCGUAACAUUCGUACAACGAAGCACAAUGGGCUGCAGCCUCUUUACGUUCAACAGGCCCGACAUGCCCGUAACAAAUCGGAGCGAGAGCCACUGCCGAAGAACGUCAUCAACACGUACAUGUCGAGGCGUCAACAUUUCCGAUUGGCACGAGGACCUGCCGACGACUACGAGUCGUGGUUUUACAUUUGUGCACGGUUUAUCACUCUGGUGAGGAUUUUGAGGGAGUGGCCAUGUUUUGUGAAUUUUGAAUUUUUUUCGGCACUAGUGCGAGGCAGACACGUAUGCAGGAAUGUAGCUUACUAUUAGGCUUAGGCUUUGGCUUGGGAUUGUCUCUGGUCUAUAUUACGCAAAUCCUGUCCAAGCUGAACAAAAACCGCUCACAUAACGCGAUGCGUGUCAUGAAAUACGGCCAGUACCUAAACUUGCAAUACAUAUUGACACAGGAGGUUGGUUAUUUUUUUAGAAUUUAAUUUGAUAGCUUAAAACAAUUUCCAGCUGUCCUCGGAUUUGGGAUUCAUCGUACAAAAUACUAAACUUGAUCUCUACUCGGCCGUGCAUCUUAUCCAGCAAACAUUCUACUGCAUCAGUGAUCUCCACAAGG